CCCCCACCCCCCAGGGCUCUCACCCAGCUCAAGUGGACUCCAACUGCCCUUGACCACAUUGUCUCUGCUGGUCCAAGCAACUCUGUCUUGCCACCUCCAGACUGAGGAGCAGCCCUUUCCUGCUGCCUCCAGCAAAUUUUUAUUAUGUGCGGAAAGAGGAAGGCCCCAAAGGACCUGAGCCUGCUAGAAAGCUGACUAAAGAGAGAAAUUGUGGUGUUCUCAAAUCCUCAGAGGACUUGUGCGUAUUUGAAGUGAAUAUUGUGGACGAAGCAUUUGAGCGCCUGGAGAUUUUGGAGAGAAUUCCCUCAUUUACAGAACUAUCUCCAGAGAGGGGAUUCCCUCACCUCCCUCCAACUGCUGUCUUUUUCCCUGUCAAGAAGUUCUCCAGUUUAAUUUGACAAACAUUUCCUGAGCAGGACACCACGCCCAGUUCUCUGAGGAAUUCAAAGUUAAACCUAGCUGUCCUCCUGAACCUUGACACUCUAGUGGCAGGGAGGCCAGACAUUUACUAACUAACUAUGUCAACUGGGGGAUCCUUUGAGCAAAAUUGAACCCAUUUGUACAAAUAUAAGUGAGCUCCCUAUUAUUUUGCCCUCAGUGGAGGUGACUCAAGCCUUCUUAAUGCUCUCUGGGGAAACGAUCAGCUGAGGCUGGGAAGCAACAAAGAUGGAAAAUUAUACGGGCCCCUCUUCGACAGGUACACUAGCCAGGCACUCCUAAGGCACUUUCUCCACAAACAGAAAUUCAGAGCUUUGAGGAUCUUGGUCUGGGAAGUACAGGAAGGAAAGGUGCCAGAAAGUAGGCUGGUCUGCCGUUAAAUGAGGGCAGCUGGUUCCAGUGUCCUGGCACCUUCGUCUCCCAGAGCACAUUUGACUCAUUCACUCAAACAAGUUCAUUUGCUGACAGGAAAGCAAAGAGCAAGGAGCCAUAAUUCACCACAUACCUCAUCCAAAAAUUCCAUUUAUUACCAAAAAGAAAUUCUGACUUUCCCUGCGGCCAACUCCUCUAUUCUGGCUCGGGCUCUGGGUUCUGUUGAGAGAGGAGCUGCCUUUACUUUGCCCAGCUGUUAUCACUAGGAUGGGUCUUUUCUGCACAUGGUAGUCAGGAUGCGAACCCCAGCUUCGAUCCGAUGCUUUGUCUAAGCAGCAGGGUAGAUUUCUCUGGAGGAUUACAGCUCAAACUGAAAGAUAUACGGUUUUUAAUUUUUUUCUUUAUUUCUUUUCAGGUGCUUUUUUUCCUACCAAGUGAUCAGUAGAGGAGGCAUUUAGGGGUAGACAGUAGAAACUGGCUGGAUCAACUGCUGUCACAUUUUAAGUGAGUGAUCCAGUUGAUUUUUUUACAAAAACAUGUUAAGACAAACAGGUGGAGGGAGGAUUAAUCAUUGAUAGCCAGUGAAAAUGGCUGACUUAUCUCCAGGGUGGUGAGAAAGUUCAGCUUCAGGACCUUGAACUGUGCAUCCACUGACCAGGUGAGGGGAGCGUGCUGCACGUCUCAGGAUGGGCUGGACAUUUUGUUCACAGAAAAAUAUCAGAGGGCAUUUGCUUCUCUGUAAACGGUUAAGAACUCCCCGCUCAUUACCUUCUUCCUGCCACGCCAGGAGGCAAAUCAAUCAAAUGAAUCCGGGAGCCUUUGUGGGCAGCACAGACUGACCAUCCUCUUCCUCUUCUUUUUCUGCCUUAACCCCUGUCCCCAAAGAAGCUGUUGUCCCCUCCAGAGACGCCUGUUUCUGCAAAUGGUUAACGAGCUCUCUCUUGACCAGAUGGUAAACGCUUCUCCCACCCUCCCAUCAACGCUUUGGCAGGGCCAAACCGCUCUAGUAGCUAGGAAACAUUCUUGCUGUCAGAUUUGAUCCAUCCUGCCAGGAGUUAAAUUUUGUUAACGGUGCACAGGAGAGGCAGAGGCACCACCAAAUAGUGGGGGGGACUAUUGGGAAAAAGCUCAUUUCCCCUUCAUCCUGGUCUGUACUCCAGAGGCAAAAAGGGGCUGUCUGAGGAGAGGUGGAAAGUGUGAGUCGAGCUAAGGAUUCAGCCCCAACUGCCAUCCCUCCCAGCUUCAACUCAUGGACUCUUUGGAAGAAUUGGGACCAACUGAAGAAGGAGGGGAGGGAACUAAGUCAUCAACGGCUCAGCCAUAGCUCAACCUGGUGGGGAGUGGAGUGAGGUGGGGACACGGGUGGGGGGGCGGGUAGGAAGUGGGUGUGGAGGAGGAAAGAGCAUCUUGGUUUUCCUCAGAAGCCUCUCCAAAACACCCUCAAGCCUCCAGCAGGCAGCCCAGGAGACUCCCCCCUCCCCACUGCCAUGGCUAGGAUUUAAAAGGAAAAACAAAAGAUUAAAUAGGAAGAUCAAAGAGCUGUGUGACCUUGGCCAAGUCACUGGAGUGCUCUGGGUUUUACUUUUGUUAAUGGCAAAAUAAGACUUGGUGACCCUCAUCCUCCUUUCAGUUUUAGCAUUCUCUGAGUCUUUGGUGCUCCUUUGAAAGUAGCUCCAAGGAGGUGGGGUCUGACUGUUGAUUCCCUGACAGAAGUACAGUAAAUGAUUCAUCAUUGCCAGAAGGAAAAGAUAAAUGUGCUCGUAUUUUUUUAAUCAAAACAUUUUCAAAAGUAAUAUAUUCACCUAGUUAAAAAAAUUCAAAGAAUUUGGAAGAGUAUUCCGUGAAGCCAAUUCUUCCUGCCAUCUGAGGGUACCUUCCAAACACCGGUGCUGCCAGAACCCAGCGCAACCUGAGGUGCCCUGGGAGUCAGAGAGGCCCCCACAGUCCUCGAGUGGAAGUCAGCUCCCUAGGUUGAGCCUGGCACCCAGGCAAGACCCAGAUUGGGGGAGGGGGUCAUCUCUUACACCCUCUUCUCUUCCUCCUUGUUUUUUUCUCCCUCAGCUCUGCCCUGUAAUUCUUUAAUCAACUCUUUCUUAAAUAGCUGCGGAAUUUUCAUCCCAACCAAAACACCCAUGCUGUGCAGUCGGUUAUUAGUCCUUCCCUCUUCUGGAGCCCAGCUAGGGGACAUAACUAGGAAAUUAGUAGUCUUGGACCCUCUUAACCCAAACCUUACCCCCUCUGAGAGUUCCCAAAUGAGGACUGUGAUGCAGAGAAAGAGGAUGAAGUGAGGCCUGGAAUUAUGAAAACAAACAGUGGGAUUUGCACUCCCCCACCGCCUCACUGGCCUGGAGAGGGCAAAGGAACUAUUCUGAGCUAUGAAAACACAACAGACCUCUGCUAGGAAGUAAACAGCCGUCUGUCCCGCCAACGCCUGUCUCCCUGGACAUGAGUCGUGACAAUGUCUGAUCACCAGCCAGGGGGUGGGAGAGAGAGGGAGAAGGCAAGGAGAGUCUAGCAUGCCUCUCUCUUUUAGCAUGGAAAGGAAAGGCGGUGUUUGCUUUAUUUUUAAGAUUUUAAACAUUUUCUUCACUUUAGUAGGUUUGAAAUGGAAGGAAGGCAGCACUAGGGUCACGUAAGUCCAGGAGAUCUCUCCAACUCUGAAUUCCAGAAAGCAGGAUACCUGUCGCCCCCUCCUCCAUCCUCUGCAACUUCAGCCUCCUCUGCUUUACUGGGAAGUCGUGGUGACCUUCUCACUGUCAAAUCUGCUGGUUGGCCUUUUCUCAUCCUUCUUCUUCCUUGAUCUUUGGCCACAUCUGACACUUUUGACAGACAACUGCUUUGAAACACCCCCCCUUGCUGUGUUCAAUGUCGCUAACUGUCUUCUCCUUUCUCCUCUUCCUCCUCCCGCAGUGAUGGGUCCGUGAUGGCGGACCCCGCUUGAACACCACCUGGACGUCCCGUAUGUUUCUCAAAUUCCUUCCACACCUGUUCUUCCUCUAGAUUUCCCUGCUUUGUAAAUGCAUCUCCUCCCUCUCUGCCAUCCUAGAGGCACUGAGCCUGGCAACCUUCGCGUCAUCCUUGACGCCUCCUCACGCGCCAUUUGCAGUCAUUCAUCAGGUUCUGAGCAUGUAUUUUCUACUCUUGUGGCCUCUCCUCAAUCCCUCUGCCUAGGCCUGCUAGUCCUUUCAUUAUUUAGUGACCUCCUACUCCCCUUUUGGCUCCCCUGCCCAAACCAGCCUACAGACUACUGUCAAAGGAGGCUUCUUACAACACAGUUCUUUUCACUUGUCAUCUGAAAAAUACCCAGGCUCCCCAUUGCCUACAGAAUGAAGUUCAAAUUCAAGCUCAUCCACAAUUGGACCCCAGGUUAUCUUUCCAGCCUUAUGUCUUGCAGUCCCCUUCGUGGACCUCUUACUCCAGAUAUAUAUUAGAUGGGUUUGCAUUUCCCAGACAUGACUUGUUUUUUCUAAAUUUGCUUUUCUCUCCACUUGGAAUAUCAUUUUCUCCAUCUCCACAUGUCCAGAUUCUAACCAUAUUCAAGGCCAAGCUAAUAUAGUCUUCCCCACCCACUGAAGCCCAGCCCUUGUCAGCUGUAAAGAAUCACUUUAACCUGAACUCUUCUAGAACUUAACUGUUCCUUUCUUGGAGCACUUGGCAUGUUCCAGCGUUGCAUUACAGUUGUUUUACACGUAUGUCUUAACCUUUUUUCUGCUAUCCUGAGCCUGAGGGCCAAGAAAACAUCCCUUCCUGCCUCCAGAAAUGAGCUCUGCUUGCAUGUCUGGUGCCCAGUGUGGUUUGUAUAGCUGUGAUGGUCCCUCCCAUCCCUGACACACAUCCCUUUGCAUUGUUUGCCUCUCUUCCCAUCAAGAUGUGAAAUUUAUGUCUCCAUCCUUCGAAUCUGAGCUUGAUCUUGUGCCUUGGCCAAUGGGACAUUAGCAAAUAUGAUGCAAGAAGAGGCUUGAAAAGCAUUUGUUCUCUAGGGCUCGUCCUCUUUAGGCUACAGUCAGAACCCUGGACCACAAAGGGGAGAAGUCCAGACCAACCUGCUGGAGACACGUUGCUGUAACACGUGACCUGACAGCCAGACCCACCUGCUGGACACGUGAGUGAGGCCAUCUUAGACCAUCCAGCCCCAGUCCAUCUGCCAGAUACCUGCAGCCAUGCUCCAGAUGUGGGGAGGAGCAAUGUUACAGAAGCUGCAGACAUCCACCCGGAGCCUGCAUGGAGCAAACACAGCCAACCAUCGACCAUAGGCCAAGUGUCAGACUGGGGACACCAGGCAGGUGCCACUAAGAGGCCAGGCCAGAGAGCUCACACCGAUACUGUGUAUAUGUGCAUGUGGUGUUUGAGGUCCUUUCAGUGGGGUGUAUAGGUCCAAGGGUCCCCUAGGGCCCACAGUCCCAAAGUUCCCUGCCCCUUCCAGAACUUUGCUACUCUGACCCUUUGGAUCUCUCUGGGCUGCAGUCCUCAGGGUCUGGUUGCUUCUUUCCUGUGGCUGGAAGGAUAUAUUCCCAGGAUAGCCUUCUGACAGGGCUGCCUUAACUCUUUUCCUGAGAGUUCCCUGUGCACCAUUCCCUUGGGUGGCUCGAGCUGUGCCCUCUGACACCAGUGGGGAGCCCCAUCACAUGCUCAUUGCUCAGCAGGUGAGCCGCAACAGCAGAGCCCCCAACACAGACUUCAGCCCGGGAGACAGGUCCCCUCUCCCCAUCCCUGCAAGUGGAGAAGCAGAGGUGGAACAGCCCAGAGAAGCAUCCUUGGCUCUCCCACAGUGUUUGUUUUGGGGGCAAGAUGACAGCAUUUACACCCAUCGUGGUCCAAAUUUCUUUGAACAAGAAAACACAAGGAAAUCAAAACAUGAUAUUUAUCUGGGCUGAGAGGGUAAAGAGACACAAAUUCACUGAGCCUUAAAACAAAAUGGAAAGAAAUCAGCUCUGCCUUAACCCCUUCCCCAUCUGGGCACUUUCCACCAUAUCCUGCUGAUAUUCUGGAAUCAAGAAUUUGGCUCCCACGGCCUUUAGUCUUGGUAUGAAGGUCCCUUUGCCAGAACUUAGUUCCUUUCCAGCUCACCUGGUUGAGACUGGGGGUAAGAGCAGUUCACAAGGGAACCACAGGACUUACGCAGUGUCUGAGCCCCGGGUCUGCCAUUUCUCUCUGGUCAAGCUAAGCUGGACCCAAAUCUCUGUGCCCUGAACUCCUCUCCUGCCAGGCCUGCCCAGUCAGGGCCCUCCCCUAGGCCUCUGUUGGUGGCCUGGGCUUCCCACUGAGGACAAAUCCCCCUCUCUUUCUGACUUUGGAGCCCCCUCUUCCAGAAAAGACGCUGACAGAAGUGGGAAAGCCACAGAAGCAGAAGUGUAGACCCUGCCUAUCAGAUGGGUUUCCCUGGCCUGGAGGCUCCUGAGGCAGCUUGGUCUUUAAGCCCUACCUCCUCCCCACCUUAUGCUGGCCCCGCACUCCUUUCUGGAAAAUAUGCCAGUUCUUCUUUAUGCCCGUCCAAAGUCCACACCUCAGGAAGGGCAGCAAGGAUUUGAAGCCUUGGAGGCCAAUGCCCACCAGGAGGCCCUUGGCUCAUACACGUGCCCACCCCUGAUGGAGCAGCUCCUGACGUGGUUCCCGUAGCUCCUAAGGCUUUUUGGUCCCUACCCUUGAUGACAUUCUGAUCACCCAUGCUGGCUGCUGCAGAGUAAUGGAGGCCACUGUCACCCAUGGCCGUGAGAACAGAUGACUCUUCAACGUUUCCCCUACAAACUCCCCUGACCUGCUGCUGUCACUUGACCAUCCCACCCCCUCUCAAAAGCGUACUCCACACGGUCUAUUCUAUGUAAAUGGCGAGAACUCGGAGGGAGAUUAUUUGGCAGUGCACACAGAUGACAAGAUGUCAGCAGGAACGUUUUUGUUCUCAUAGUGAAAGGUAGAGAGACAAGAUGAAGAAAUCUGUCCAGAGACAUAUGUCUCCCAUAAGGACACAACCAGGGAUUGUCCCUCUCGCCAACAAGACAGCCCCCUGCAUGUCCAAGGCUUCCCCAGCCCGGGGACAGAGGAGGACACCAGAAUUGAGCGAUGUGGGGGCAUGGAUUACAGGACCUGAGGUAGAAGGGACAUCCCCCCAGGACCUCAGAGGGAAAUGCCAGGGAGUAGAAGCUGAAGUAGCAAGAGGAGGGGAAGGAGGAGGAGGAAGGAGAAGGAAUGUGCCAGGGUGAGAAAUGAGAAAUGAAGACAGAGAAGCAGCUUCCCAAGAUCGGGGCACAGGCCUGGUGGGGACCUGCCUGGGGCUUGAGAGAACAGCUGGUCUUUAGAGGCCUCAUCUUCGUAUUCAAGACCCGGGGCAGAGGAGGAGCGGGGACCCUAAGAAAGCUUCUGAAUGGACUUAAUACGACUGAACUGUACACUUAAAAAAUGGUCAAAUUGUAAAUUUUGUUAUGUGUGUUUUAUCACAAUAAACAAG